ensembl:lncRNA
GGGAGGGCCAGGACCUCUGGCCAGCCACUUCUAGGAGUUUGGUCUGACUCAUCUUUCCAGGGAGCCUGCAGAGGUCUUAGAGGAAGCGCCAGAGCCCAGGUUAUGCCCUCUAGCGCGACCUCGAGCACAGCACACGACCCCUGCCAGACGGUCUUCUCACCCAAGGCCCGAGGACCGUCACAUUUACCCCGCUGAGGGCAACAUGGCAGAGCCUACUUGGGAACGCCUGGGAAACUGCGCAGUACUUUACAGACAGGCACUGAGGUAUGUGUAUGGAUGUGGGAAUUGGACUGUGAAGAAGGCUGAGCGCCGAAGAAUUGAUGCUUUUGAACUGUGGUGUUGGAGAAGACUCUUGAGAGUCCCUUGGACUGCAAGGAGAUCCAACCAGUCCAUUCUGAAGAUUAGCCCUCGGAUUUCUUUGGAAGGAAUGAUGCUAAAGCUGAAACUCCAGUACUUUGGCCACCUCAUGCGAAG